rnacentral:tRNA from 1 species
GCCCACGUAGCUCAGGGGAUAGAGCACUCGUUUCCUAAAUGAGGUGUCGCAGGUUCAAAUCCUGCCGUGGGCA